AACCAUUGGAAACGAUGGCUAAUACCGCAUAAUGCCUACGGGCCAAAGAGGGGGACCUUCGGGCCUCUCGCGUCAGGAUAUGCCUAGGUGGGAUUAGCUAGUUGGUGAGGUAAUGGCUCACCAAGGCGACGAUCCCUAGCUGGUCUGAGAGGAUGAUCAGCCACACUGGAACUGAGACACGGUCCAGACUCCUACGGGAGGCAGCAGUGGGGAAUAUUGCACAAUGGGCGCAAGCCUGAUGCAGCCAUGCCGCGUGUGUGAAGAAGGCCUUCGGGUUGUAAAGCACUUUCAGUCGUGAGGA
rnacentral:rRNA from 1 species